UGCCAGCAGCCGCGGUAAUACGGAGGUGGCAAGCGUUGCUCGGAAUUACUGGGCAUAAAGGGCGUCUAGGCGGAUCGGUUAGUCGGCUGUGAAAUCCCUCGGCUUAACCGAGGAAGUGCAGCCGAUACUGCUGGUCUUGAGGGCGAGAGGGGAGAGUGGAACUCCUGGUGGAGCGGUGAAAUGCGUAGAUAUCAGGAGGAACGCCGGUGGCGAAAGCGACUCUCUGGCUCGUCCCUGACGCUGAAGCGCGAAAACUAGGGGAGCGAACGGGAUUAGAUA
rnacentral:rRNA from 1 species